rnacentral:piRNA from 1 species
UAACUCUUGGCUCCGCAUGUUUUC